GGCUGGUUAGCUCAGCUGGUUAGAGCGUGAUGCUGAUAACACCAAGGUCCAGGGUUCAAGAUCCCUGUACCAGCCA